GAGGUCCUCAGGGGAGGGGCCUGGCCACUGGAGGGGCUCAAGGACCUUCCAUGUACGGUAUUUACAGCAUUUCUACUUUGUUUUUGUUUUGUUUUGAGACAGGGUCUCUCUACAUAGCCCUGGCUGUCCUGGAACUCACUAUGUAGACCAGGCUGGCCUCCAACUCAUAGGGAUGCACCUGCCUCUGCUUCUCUAGUGCUGGGAUCAAAGAAGGAUUCAAAGAAGAUUAACCUGGAUUAACUUUCCACUUCAAUGGAACUGAGAUUAGCACAGACCAUGAAAGUCAUGAUCAGAAGCACAGAGGACAAAGGAGAAAGAAGGUAGCUGGAAAAGACAAGAGACUAUCACCAGGAAGUCCUUGCAGCAGAGGGUGUUGAGUGUCCCCAAGGAAAGGCUUCAGCAAAAGCCUUGGAAGCUUCAUGCUGGUCUAGACUGUCCCUGAAAAGCAGGGAAGGUGACUCUGGACUCCCCUGCAGGGAGGAACACACUCCCUGGGCAAGUUGCUGUCUCACUCCAGACAGCACAUUUCAGCUGCUCCUGCUAUACCGUCUCUUUUCGGAAAUAUGAAGGCUUGCUAUAGAGGAACAGGCCUGUGAUGGCCACAGCAACCAAGAUCAGGGAGAAGAUAACCAUGAGGCUGAUGUAGGUGGAGUGAGGGAGAGGCGGAGAUAAUGGCUGUUCAGCUGGGAUCAUGUUGGUCAAGUUCAGCAUGUAGCCCAAAGUCCACCCUGCGUUGCUGUCCUCGAUCUGAAAAAAGUAGGGAAAAUCUUAUUGUUCAUGAUCCAAAAAGAUAAUCUAUAUUAUUCAUGUAACCCUACCCAGAACACUGAGCAGCCAAUAGGAAGAGAACACUUUGUGUAGUUCACACAAUAGAUUAACUUUAUACCCUACAUUGGGAAUGAUGUGGGGGAGGGGGAAUCAAAGCAAAUGAUUAAAAUAGAGUUUGGAGCCUCACCAUUAUAUUCUACAAGUUCAGGAAGUUUCCUGAACGGCUGUCUGGUUCACCUGCCUGCGAGCACUUAAUUCAAAGAGACCGUGAGAGAGGUCUACAUUCUUUCUAUUUCACAAUAGGGAACUAAGUGAGAGGUGACAGGAAAUAGGUAAAAAGAUGAGGGAAUAAUGAUUAGCUAGUGCCUUUUACAUCCUUGCCGGGCCAGAGAAGCCACAUAGACCCAGGACCUCAUGGGAGAAAACUGGGAGAAAUAAUUCCAGCAAGCCAACUUUAUGAAGUUGGAAGGCUGUGUGCCUCACUGCUGAUAAAGGAUUCUUAUUAAAUUAUAAGACAUUUCCUGGCCUUCUCGCCUUUGGAAAAAAUAAUUUCCAGUCACUCAGAACUUACAGUAAUAUAGGUGAUACUCGAAUAAUAAUUUUGGAAAGGUUCUAUUAUAAGAGCUGUUCAUGAUGACACAGAGAAUUAGCAAGCACAGGC